rnacentral:rRNA from 1 species
AUUGAACGCUGGCGGCAGGCCUAACACAUGCAAGUCGAACGAGUGGCGGACGGGUGAGUAAUGUCUGGGAAACUGCCCCAUGGCGGGGGAUAACCACUGGAAACGGUAGCUAAUACCGCAUACUAUCGGAUGUGCCCAUAUGGGAUUAGCUAGUGGGUGGGGUAAAGGCUCACCUAGGCGACGAUCCCUAGCUGGUCUGAGAGGAUGACCAGCCACACUGGAACUGGGACACGGUCCAGACUCCUACGGGAGGCAGCAGUGGGGAAUAUUGCACAAUGGGCGCAAGCCUGAUGCAGCCAUGCCGCGUGUAUGAAGAAGGCCUUCGGGUUGGAAAGUACUUUCAGCGGGGAGGCGUUACCCGCAGAAGAAGCACCGGCUAACUCCGUGCCAGCCGCCGCGGUAAUAC